AUCACAUGACAAUUGAAAAUUGCAUUAGCAAUUCUAUGAAGACCAACAAGCCUAAAAAAGUUAGUGAUUUUAUUGCCUUGAAAUGCUAGAACAACUUUUCCUAAGGUCUAACAAAAACAAAUCUUGACCUGCAACCACUAGCUUAUGUGUGCGACAUUUAGUAAAAUGUUACCCGUAUAAUAAACUACCUAAUAAAACAUAAAAUGUUACAGAGUACUACGUAUAAUAAAAAAAAAUACCGAGAAUUUGACUAUUUUUUGGCGUUGACUUUUCUUUUAUUUCCUUUUGUUCUUCUUUUACCUUUUGCUAUACAACUUCAAAUUAGGAUCUCCUCCUCAAGUGGUUGGGUUCAAUUUCUCACCCAGCCACCCAUUCCUAACUUCCUGUAAUAGGGUGGAGGCCCAACCCGUCUUUACGUAGAAAAAAAAAAAAAAAAAGCUCCCUCUAUUUACCUCCAAACUUUAAAAAAAAAAAAAAAAAAAAAAAAAAAAAACCGAACCAAUUUCGGCGGUUGGCGCUUUGUACAAGGUUUGCCCAGUUGAACUUCCCGCAAUUUCAUACUAUCCUCAAUUACAAUUGAGUUUGCAGUUGUUAGAAUAAAUUAGGGUUUUUGGCGUUGUUGAUUAUUGCAAUUGGAAAUUGGAUUCUUGAUUUUCUGCUCUCAGAUUUGGAACGAUUCUACAAGAUCUCUGUGGUUGGAAGUAUGAAAUAACACUGACACAAAGGGAACAGAUUAUCAGCUCAUCACACCUGAAACUUGCUGAUUUUGAAGAUGAUGAGGGUAAUGAAGAAUAUAAAAGAAUCAAAUCGCUUGGCACAAGGCAUACUAUGAGUGAAGAAGAGGACGAUGAAGAGGUAGAGGAAGAGGCCGUGGAUGAGGCAGUCAAGAAACUGCAGGUGAUAUGUUUGAAGAUGAUCCAGACAUGCAUGACAUGCAGGAAAUGAUAAUAUUUGUGCGGGGGAUGGAAUUCAUAGGUGACGAGGCAUCAGUCCAGAAAUUUGACCCAAAUAUGGACUUUGAUGCAGAUGGUACUGCUGCCACAACUUCAGACCUGGGACUCGAUAAUACAGCAGCAGAGCCUGUUAUAGAAAUGGCACAUGAUGAAUAUCCUGAGUGGUUCCUCAUUGAGAUGGGAACUGUUGCAAUCGAUGCUGCUCAAUUGGCAAGCGAGCAUCAAUCAGCAAAUAGGAGAGGUCAGAGGAUGAAAACUACGAUGAAGAGUGAGUUAGCCUUCUCUCAUUGUUUUGUAAAAUUAGUUGAUUUGAUAUUCUUCUAUCUGAAUUAGAUUAGACAUACAUAAAUUUGACAAGAUUUGUGCCCUAUCUACCUCUAGAUAAUUAAAGUAUGGAAGCCAGGCAAGGGUUGUUAUUUAUGUAUACAUCUGUAGUUUUAUUCCUUUCAAUAUGCUGUUGGCUCAGGCAAUCAAUGUUUCUUUGAGCUGAUUAUACUAAA